UACGGGGGGAGCAAGCGUUGUUCGGAUUUACUGGGCGUAAAGGGCGCGUAGGCGGCGCAACAAGUCACUUGUGAAAUCUCCGGGCUUAACCCGGAGCGGCCAAGUGAUACUGUCGUGCUAGAGUGCGGAAGGGGCUACUGGAAUUCUCGGUGUAGCGGUGAAAUGCGUAGAUAUCUGGAGGAAUACCGGUGGCGAAGGCGGCGCUCUGGGCCGGAACUGACGCUGAGGAGCGAAAGCGUGGGUAGCAAACAGG
rnacentral:rRNA from 1 species